CAGCCGCCGCGGGAAUACGUAGGGUGCGAGCGUUAAUCGGAAUUACUGGGCGUAAAGCGUGCGCAGGCGGUUCGUUAAGACAGAUGUGAAAUCCCCGGGCUUAACCUGGGAACUGCAUUUGUGACUGCAAAGCUAGAGUGCGGCAGAGGGGGAUGGAAUUCCGCGUGUAGCAGUGAAAUGCGUAGAUAUGCGGAGGAACACCGAUGGCGAAGGCAAUCCCCUGGGCCUGCACUGACGCUCAUGCACGAAAGCGUGGGGAGCAAACAGGAUUAGAUACCCCAGUAGUCCCUGUCUCUUAUAC
rnacentral:rRNA from 1 species